rnacentral:rRNA from 1 species
GACGAACGCUGGCGGCGUGCUUAACACAUGCAAGUCGAACGGAAAGGCCCUGCUUGUGUGUGGUGCUCGCGUGGCGAACGGGUGUGUAACCCGUGAGUAACCCGGGUUUUAGUUUGUGAUAACUGCAAGAAACUGGUGCUAAUGCCUGAUAGGAGCUCCUGCUGCAUGGUGGGGGUUGGAAAGCUUCGGCGGUUGGGGAUGGACUCGCGGCUUAUCAGCUUGUUGGUGGGGUGACGGCCAACGAAAGCUUUGACAGUUAGUCGGCCUGGGAGGUUGAUCGGCCAAAAGGGAACUGAGAUAGGGCGCAGUGUCGAACGGGAGGCAGCAGUGGGGAAUAUUGCACAACGGGCGGAAGGCUGAAGGAGAAACGCCGCGUGGGGGAUGACGGCCUUGGGGGGGUAAACCGCAGUCGGCUGAGACGAAGCGUGAGUGACGGUAAUGGGUAAAGAAGCACCGGCUAACUUCGUG